ACUGGUUUGCGAAGGCUUCGCGUGUGCGAAGGUUGCGGCCAAGAGCAAACGAAAUCGCGUAUGUGCCGCGACAAGACAGCUGAUGACUAAUUUCUGAUGCACGCGUUUACCUCAUUGCGGUGAAGUGUCGUGAAACAUCCGGAGAUCAUUAUCUCACCCAUGGAAAAUUGUGCGAUGUAUUUUUAAAACGCUCGUUUGCCACGCGCGUUAUCACUUCCCGGUAGAUUAAUCGGUCAUAAUGACCGAUACUUAAGACAUACAUUAUGUCUCAUAAUAAAAGAAAAUGUCGUUAACGACACAUUUAUGAUAUAAUAUAAUCAAACGGCAGUGUGAUCGGAAACGAUGAGCACUAUUUCAAAUUUUAUAGAUUAACUUUUGAUACGCGUCUCCAGUCUCCGUGCAAGCGCCAAUUCGUACGUGUGCGCGAACGUGACACGUUCACCCGCUGCCGAUUAUUAAAUUUGUAUUAGCACCGGUGAGUCCCGCGCUCGUAAAGCGUAAUUUGACUGGUAACCCGGAGGUGAAGGCGUUACACAGGCGGAAUCGUGGUAACGUAACGAAAACGAAGAGGAUCCGUUGGUGACGAGGAGAAAGAGGAAGAGAGAGAAGGAGAGACGAAGACAGAGACGAAGAGGAACCAAGAGUGGAACAUUCCCAUUUUCACGUGAGACGGUACAAAGGACAUCCGAUAUCCAAAAUGCAUCUCUCGGCAUCACUCUUCCUUAUCAUGCUGUGCGUCCUGGUUCAUUCGGCGGUCGGCAUCCAAGAGAUGGUAAACUCCGAUUCCGUUUACUUCCCUGAUCAAGCGGAUUACAUCAAGCUUGCCACAAAGUGUCCGAGCGACACGAUACUGUGGCCUGCGAACCGUCGGUGCUACAAAGAGGGUGAGCAAGGUCCCUGCAACGUCGGUCGGGUGCUGCUGUUCGACCGUCGGUUACUGCGACCGUACUGCAAGGAUAUCAUGUUCUAAAGGACUAUCCGUGCUAUACCACAGCGAACAGCCGGGUGUAACCAACUGCCAAACGACCAACUGCAGUUUAAUCCGCCACCUGCUGCGAUUCGUUGCACGAUAGGUGACGGCAGCGACCGCGAAUUUCCCGUUCGAGAGGCUCAAUUAUAUGUUUCGACACGGACAAAAAUAUUUGUUCAAGCAAAGAGAAAACGCGUAGAUAUUUAUUAAUGGAAUUAUAAAUACUCGUAUAAUGGAAUUGUAAAUACUCGUAGCGACGGCGUCGCGUUCGAUAUCAAAAAUAAUAUCCCUGCGUAAACGCAAAGGAGUUGCAUCGGACGUUUGCGUAAGGCAGAUCCAUGCUGUUUCUCUAGGCAGAAUUUUUUAAUUUGUUAAUAAAAGCGAACUCGCAGGAGAGAAGCUCAAAUCAAAUGUUAGUCUGAUAAUUAGCGUGAUACCUCAAUUUUUAUUUAAAUAUUAAUGCCAUGUCACGUGUGAUUGUAUAUGAAAUAUUUACGAGAUUUAUGCUCGAAGUAAUCUCUUGUGCCUUAGUUUGUCUAGAUUUUUAUUGUUAAUUAUUAUAUUAUAAUCAUAUUCUUCGUGUGGCGUGUGUAUGUGUGAAUUGAAUUUUCCAACUGACUCGCGCGUCAUUUAACAUUUAGAGAAAUACGCUUUAAUUGACUGCAUAAAAUAUAGAUCUGAUAGAUUAGAUUCUUUUUAUGCUCUAUUCUCAACUUAGUAUGUAGCUCAUGAAUUUUUACUGCUACUAUUCAUAGAAAAUGAUAGAUGUAUUUAUUUAAAAUCCAUGUAAUGCCAAUAAUUUUCCAUCUAUAAAAGAUAACUGUAGUUUAGUAAGUAUUUAUAUUUACAUUUUGAUAUUACCAGAGAGUUAUUAAUUAUUAUUGAUAGCGAUUGAAAUAGCAAUUAUUCUGCUGAUUUGUAUUUAUGUAAUAAAAUUUUUAUUGUCGCAAAAUAUAUCAAAUAAUAGCAAA
rnacentral:lncRNA from 1 species